GACGAACGCUGGCGGCGUGCUUAACACAUGCAAGUCGAACGGUGAUGCUCCAGCUUGCUGGAGUGGAUCAGUGGCGAACGGGUGAGUAACACGUGAGCAACCUGCCCCAGACUCUGGAAUAAGCGCUGGAAACGGCGUCUAAUACUGGAUACGAAACUGGCCCGCAUGGGCAUGGUUUGUAAAGUUUUUCGGUUUGGGAUGGGCUCGCGGCCUAUCAGCUUGUUGGUGAGGUAAUGGCUCACCAAGGCGACGACGGGUAGCCGGCCUGAGAGGGCGACCGGCCACACUGGGACUGAGACAAGGCCCAGACUCCUACGGGAGGCAACAGUGGGGAAUAGUGCACAAUGGGCGAAAGCCUGAUGCAGCGACGCCGCGUGAGGGAUGACGGCCUUCGGGUUGUAAACCUCUUUUAGCAGGGAAGAAGCGAAAGUGACGGUACCUGCAGAAAAAGCGCCGGCUAACUACGUG
rnacentral:rRNA from 1 species